AUGGAUGGAAAGAUUGUUUCCACAAGGGUGGUCAUGAUCAGAUUUGUUGAAUCAGAGGCAAGCGUUCCACUGAUCACAGGAAAAGUGAAUGUGGCCAUGGGAGACAGUGAGGAGUACAUCCUUACAGACACCGUUGGGAAUGAAAUCGUUGAGUCUGAAGGGACAAUUGGGUCUUUGUACUGGAAGCCGAAUGCAAGAAAGAUCCAUGCUGUUGAGAGCUCUGCUUUCAGGCAAUGGCGUCGAAGAGGCUCAAGAAGCAGACACAAUGACUGGACCCAUGUUUUCCUCCUGCUGCCAAAGCAUCGUGGGAUGCAGGCUCUGUGUGGAGGAUAACAUCUCCCCAAUGCCUUAAGUGCAGGGAUCAGGAGCCAGUGUAUACCCAGGUUGCUGGACUGUCUGCAGCACUGGAUGCUUUAAGGGCCCUACCCUAAAGUGGACAGCAGUUCAGUCGUUUAUUGUUUAUUGUUAAGUGGUGUGUGUUCAAAUUCCAGGUUCCAUGAUAUCAUCAUACAGAAAAUGAUUGUUGUAGUUUUC